UACGUAGGGUGCAAGCGUUAAUCGGAAUUACUGGGCGUAAAGCGUGCGCAGGCGGUUUUGUAAGUCUGUCGUGAAAUCCCCGGGCUCAACCUGGGAAUGGCGAUGGAGACUGCAAGGCUAGAGUUUGGCAGAGGGGGGUAGAAUUCCACGUGUAGCAGUGAAAUGCGUAGAUAUGUGGAGGAACACCGAUGGCGAAGGCAGCCCCCUGGGUCAAAACUGACGCUCAUGCACGAAAGGCGUGGGGAGCAAACAGG
rnacentral:rRNA from 1 species